GUGAAGAACGUAGUGAAAUGCGAUAAGUAAUGCGAAUUGCAGAAUUUCCGUGAGUCAUCGAAUCUUUGAACGCACAUUGCGCCCACUGGUAUUCCGGUGGGCAUGCCUGUUCGAGCGUCAUUAUCCUCCCUCAAACCCCGGGUUUGGUGUUGGACCCAAGUUGUGUGAACAACUGGUCUCAAAGACAAUGACGGCGUCCGUGGGACCCUCGGUGCAACGAGCUUUUAGGAGCACGCGCCGAGUUGCAAGGACCUUCCGGGCCGGUCUCCUUUACUAUUUUACAAGGUUGACCUCGGAUCAGGCAGGAAUACCCGCUGAACUUAAGCAUAUCAAUAAGCGGAGGA
rnacentral:misc_RNA from 1 species